UGAAUGUCAAAACGACUCUCGGCAACGGAUAUCUCGGCUCUCGCAUCGAUGAAGAACGUAGCGAAAUGCGAUACUUGGUGUGAAUUGCAGAAUCCCGUGAACCAUCGAGUCUUUGAACGCAAGUUGCGCCCAAAGCCUUCGGGCCGAGGGCACGCCUGCCUGGGCGUCACGCAUC
rnacentral:rRNA from 1 species